rnacentral:rRNA from 1 species
CCUACGGGUGGCUGCAGUAAGGAAUAUUGGUCAAUGGAGGAAACUCUGAACCAGCCAUCCCGCGUGAAGGAUGAAGGGGCUCUGCCUUGUAAACUUCUUUUGUCUGGGGCGAAAAAGCUCGAUUUAUCGAGAACUGACGGUACCCGAAGAAUAAGCACCGGCUAACUCCGUGCCAGCAGCCGCGGUAAUACGGAGGGUGCCAGAGUUAUUCGGAAUCACUGGGUUUAAAGGGUGCGAGGACGGCUUAGUAGAAAGGCUCGGGCUUAACCAUGGAAUUGCCAUUGAUACUGCGGAGCUUGAAUGAGGUUGAGGUUGGCGGAAUGUGACAUGUAGCGGUGAAAUGCUUAGAUAUGUCAUGGAACACCGAUUGCGAAGGCAGCUGACUGGACCUAUAUUGACGCUGAGGCACGAAAGCGUGGGGAGCGAACAGGAUUAGAUACCCCGGUAGUC